UUCUGAGAUGGGGAAGAUGGAGUGACAAGAUAGUAUUCUGAAAAUAACUGUAAUGAAAUCAUGAACCUGGAGCACCUUGGUGUGCACGUGGUCCUUGAGAGAUCUUCCAUAACUGGGGCUUCCAGGACACCACAGGCUGUGAAGCCAGAUGAAUAUAAACAGAACUCAUCUACGAAGGUUUGCACGCAUCCUGAUCCACCUCCAGCAUAAGCCUGGGUGUGAAGCCACAUUCACAGAAACAUCUGGAGGAUACACUGCUUCUACUCUGGGGCUCCCUCUUGGGGGAAGUCUUAAUUUUUACCAACUGCAACUGGCAAAACUGAGCUAGACCCACGGUGCCUCGUCUCCUCACUAGCUACUGCCUUCUUCCCGACUGGAGCGGGGCCACAGGCAGAAGCUGUGCAUUCAGUGCCUCCCGGGGGGCUCUCAUCACUUCAUUCCACACCCGCAACUGCAGGUAUGAUGCCACAGUUCAUCAGGGAGCACUGUGCUCUCCGCCAACCCCCCCUGCCUCGCCCACCGCCCUUCUUCCCCUUACUCU